GUUUAGAGCUUCAAAUUGUAAGUGGCCCCAUUUAUUUCAUGUGCAGCUUUUCUAUCCAACCACUCACGUUCCAUCUCCCCAUUCUUUAAAAAAAAAGCCUGCGUUUCUAAAGACUACAAUCACGCCUGCGAGGCUGUGACGACGUCAACAUUCAACGAUUAAACUUCCGUUGUUUUCUCCAUUCUCGGAUUUGAUUCAUACCUUCUUCUCCAAUCGAUUCUUCCACUGUUCCAUUGUUGUCGACUAAAUCGCUAAUGUUUUACUUCUCGCUGGUGUUCUUGCCUCUUGGUUUCUCCACAGUCAAUCAAUUCUUCAUUGAAUUUGAAACGCAAGGGAAGAGAAGAUCUAGCCAAGAGGAAGAAAGAGAGGGGUGGAUUCUUGAAGAGCUAAGGUCCAGGACAUCACAUCUGAGGAGGACGAUAGCUCGGGAGAUCGAGCACUAGUAGUUAUGAGAUUUACGAGUUACCGAGAUACGCCAGGUACCAGCGAGGACCGUGGGAAGGCAUCGGCUUGACUUGUACACACCCACACCAAUGGAGUUCAAGUCAUAGAGAUCUUGAGAUUUGUUUUGAAAACACUGCUGUUAUGAUUUUGAGAUUUUGAUAUGAUAUACAUUUUGUGGUUUAAAAAUGAAAAAUUAAAUUGAUAA